rnacentral:rRNA from 1 species
UAGGGAAUCUUCCACAAUGGACGCAAGUCUGAUGGAGCAACGCCGCGUGAGUGAAGAAGGUUUUCGGAUCGUAAAGCUCUGUUGUUGGUGAAGAAGGAUAGAGGCAGUAACUGGUCUUUAUUUGACGGUAAUCAACCAGAAAGUCACGGCUAACUACGUGCCAGCAGCCGCGGUAAUACGUAGGUGGCAAGCGUUGUCCGGAUUUAUUGGGCGUAAAGCGAGCGCAGGCGGAAUGGUAAGUCUGAUGUGAAAGCCCACGGCUCAACCGUGGAACUGCAUCGGAAACUGUCAUUCUUGAGUGCAGAAGAGGAGAGUGGAAUUCCAUGUGUAGCGGUGGAAUGCGUAGAUAUAUGGAAGAACACCAGUGGCGAAGGCGGCUCUCUGGUCUGCAACUGACGCUGAGGCUCGAAAGCAUGGGUAGCGAACAGG